rnacentral:rRNA from 1 species
UACGAAGGGUGCAAACGUUGCUCGGAAUCAUUGGGCGUAAAGCGCACGUAGGCGGCGCAGUAAGUCGGACGUGAAAUCCCUCGGCUCAACCGAGGACGUGCAUCCGAAACUACUGUGCUCGAGUAUGGAAGAGGGUCGCGGAAUUCUCGGUGUAGAGGUGAAAUUCGUAGAUAUCGGGAGGAACACCAGUGGCGAAGGCGGCGACCUGGGCCAAUACUGACGCUGAGGCGCGAAAGCUAGGGGAGCAAACAGG